rnacentral:sRNA from 1 species
CAAUAAACGACUAACUCACCGCAGACAGCAGGGGCGAAACGCUUAAUUUCCUGCCGAGGUUCAAUAAGUUUAAAGCUAAACAAUCAGGUUACAGACCCAAUUAAUCUGUCUGUGUUGAUGAUUUAUGUUUAAGUUUUAAGUUUUGACCUCGGUGAAAAAACCGAGGUUUUUUAUGGCGAAAU